rnacentral:rRNA from 1 species
GGAGUUAGCCGGUGCUUCUUCUGUGAGUGAUGUCCUUCCUGCCGGUUAUUGACCCGCAGGCCUUCUUCCUCACUGAAAGUGCUUUACAACCCGAAGGCCUUCUUCACACACGCGGCAUGGCUGGAUCAGGGUUGCCCCCAUUGUCCAAUAUUCCCCACUGCUGCCUCCCGUAGGAGUCUGGGCCGUGGUCUCAGUCCCAGUCGUGGCUGAUCAUCCUCUCAGACCAGCUACGGAUCGUCGCCUUGGUGAGCCGUUACCUCACCAACCAGCUAAUCCGACAUAGGCUCAUCCGAUAGCGCGAGGCCCGAAGGUCCCCCGCUUUCCCCCGUAGGGCGUAUGCGGUAUUAGCCUGGGUUUCCCCAGGUUUAUCCCCCACUACCGGGCAGAUUCCUAUGCAUUACUCACCCGUCCGCCGCUCGCCACCAGGGAGCAAGCUCCCCGUGCUGCCGCUCGACUUGCAUGUGUUAGGCCUGCCGCCAGCGUUCAAUCUGAGCCAGAAUCAAACUCUGA